rnacentral:rRNA from 1 species
GAUGAACGCUAGCGAUAGGCUUAACACAUGCAAGUCGAGGGGCAGCACAAGGUAGCUUGCUAUCUGGGUGGCGACCGGCGCACGGGUGCGUAACGCGUAUGCAACUUGCCCUAUACAGGAGGAUAACCCGUCGAAAGACGGACUAAUACUGCGUAUGCUCACAACUUGGCAUCAAGUGGUGAGGAAAGAAAUUCGGUAUAGGAUAGGCAUGCGUCCCAUUAGCUUGUUGGUGAGGUAACGGCUCACCAAGGCAACGAUGGGUAGGGGAACUGAGAGGUUUAUCCCCCACACUGGUACUGAGACACGGGCCAGACUCCUACGGGAGGCAGCAGUGAGGAAUAUUGGUCAAUGGGCGCGAGCCUGAACCAGCCAAGUCGCGUGAAGGAUGACUGUCUUAUGGAUUGUAAACUUCCUUUAUACGGGAAUAACAAGAGUCACGUGUGACUCCCUGCAUGUACCGUAUGAAUAAGCAUCGGCUAACUCCGUG